rnacentral:rRNA from 1 species
UGAGGAAUAUUGGUCAAUGGAAGAGAUUCUGAACCAGCCAUGCCGCGUGCAGGAUGACGGCUCUAUGAGUUGUAAACUGCUUUUGUAUCAGAGUAAAACCAGGUACGAGUUACCUGUUUGCAAGUAUGAUACGAAUAAGGGUCGGCUAACUCCGUGCCAGCAGCCGCGGUAAUACGGAGGGCCCGAGCGUUAUCCGGAUUUAUUGGGUUUAAAGGGUGCGUAGGUUGCACGACAAGUUAGAGGUGAAAUCCUGGGGCUUAACCCCAUUUAGCCUCUAAAACUGUCGAGCUAGAGAACAGAUGAAGAAGGCGGAAUGUGUAGUGUAGCGGUGAAAUGCAUAGAUAUUACACAGAACACCGAUUGCGAAGGCAGCUUUCUAAACUGUAUCUGACACUGAUGCACGAAAGCGUGGGUAGCGAACA